GAGAACUAAUAAUCCAAAAAGUAAAAUGAUAGGGUAACGCCUUGAAGGGCUUUCUCUAAUACUCCGAAUAGCGUUCUCAUUGAUAAGAAUGAGAGGGUUAUAAGCUCGGUGAAGUCGGCUGAGAAUACACCCUAACAGGUCAAGCUGAGGAAAGGCGAACCAGAGGUGGUCGAGUGUAUGAUAGGUCGGGAGUCCAUAAA
rfam:Bacillus thuringiensis serovar andalousiensis BGSC 4AW1 contig00473, whole genome shotgun sequence.